AGCGUUGUUCGGAAUUACUGGGCGUAAAGCGUGCGCAGGCGGUUUCUCAAGUCAGGGGUGAAAGCCCGGAGCUCAACUCCGGAAAUGCCCUUGAAACUGUGAAGCUAGAGUGCGGGAGAGGUGAGUGGAAUUCCCAGUGUAG
rnacentral:rRNA from 1 species